rnacentral:rRNA from 1 species
UAUGGGGGGGGCAAGCGUUGUUCGGAAUUACUGGGCGUAAAGGGCUCGUAGGCGGCCAACUAAGUCAGACGUGAAAUCCCCAGGCUCAACCUGGGAACUGCGUCUGAUACUGGUUGGCUUGAAUCCGGGAGAGGGAUGCAGAAUUCCAGGUGUAGCGGUGAAAUGCGUAGAUAUCUGGAGGAAUACCGGUGGCGAAGGCGGCAUCCUGGACCGGCAUUGACGCUGAGGAGCGAAAGCUAGGGGAGCAAACGGG